CAAUGCCUUGAGUUCGGUCGAGGUCAGCUGCCCUUUUCUGUUCCCUAAACUUUGGAACAUUGGGGCAUUGAAACAGGCUAGGGAGGUGAUUACAUAGAGAAUAUUAUUCUAUUCAUUUCCCUCCUAGCCAAAACAA
ensembl:snoRNA